rnacentral:snoRNA from 1 species
AUCCUUUUGUGGUUCAUAAGCAUGAUUAAUGGGUGUUCAUGUGCUUCUGUGAGAUGUGCCUCCCUUCAACCUUGUUACAUUGGCACAUUACCCGUCUGACG